ensembl:snoRNA Gm24179 predicted gene, 24179
CCUACCCUUAGCUGGUGCAUGUGUAGCUGCUGUAUCACAUGUGUGCCAGUAGGUGGCAGAGAGGAGAGAGGCUAUUUCUAUGCUGAGUAUUCUGACCUAUGAACAUUUUAAUGAUUAUUAGUAGACUAACAUUCCCUG